GUUGAACGCUGGCGGCGGGCUUAACACAUGCAAGUCGAGCGAGCGGCAGAGGGGUGAGUAAUGUCUGGGAAACUGCCUGAUGGAGGGGGAUAACUACGGGAAACGGUAGCUAUUACCGAAUACCAGCAGAUGUGCGCAGAUGGGAUUAGGUAGUAGGUAGGGGAAUGGCUCACCUAGGCGACGGUCCCUAGCUGGUCUGAGAGGAUGACCAGCCACACUGGAACCUAGACACGGUCCAGACUCCCACGGGAGGCAGCAGUGGGGAAUACUGCACAAUGGGGGGAAGCCUGAUGCAGCCAUGCCGCGUUGGUGAAGAAGGCCUUCGGGUUGUAAAGCACUUUCAGCGAGGAGGCGUUACUCGCAGAAGAAGCACCGGCUAACUCCGUGCCAGCAGCCGCGGUAAUAC
rnacentral:rRNA from 1 species